rnacentral:rRNA from 1 species
UUAGAACAGGACAUGCGGCUUGGCGCUGAACGGGUCACGCAGCACCCGCAGGUCGGGGCGCUCGGCAACCGUGUAUCCGGCCGCGAAAUCGCCAAACGCGAUGGCAUAGGCGUCCGACGCUGCGUCCGGCAUGUCCUCGGCAAUAACAACCGGGUAGCCCAUCAGCCGCGCCGGCUCACCAGCGGCCAGGCCGUCCGACCACAGGAACCGGCCAUCGGCAUCCUUCAGCUUGCGAAUCACACCGGCGGUCUUCGAAUUCAUCACGAAGGCGGCGUUGGCGCGGUACUGCGCACCCAGGGCAUAUACCAGGUCGAUGAUCGCAUCGCCAUCAACACCACCGGCGGAACCGGUCGGGACAUAGCCGAUAUUGCCCCAGGCCCAGCUGUCGUUGUCGACCUUGGUGUGGGUCAGGAUGCCGGUCGGCUUGUCGAUGCCGUCGCCAUUGAUAAAGGCCGCCGCCUCGGCGCGGGCGAACUUGUCGGCGAUGCGGCCCGCCAGCCAGCCCUCGAUGUCGAAGGCACUGUCAUCCAGCAGCCGCUGGCUCGCCUUGGGCAGCGCGCUCAGCUCGUGCAGCGGAAUCGUGAUCCGGUCAAUCUGCGGCGUGCCGGUCUCGGCGGCGGGAUCGGUCUCGGUGGCCCAGCCGGCGCCGACAUCGCUGUGGUCGAUCAGCACGUCAUAGCUGGUCGCCUCCACAUGCACGACCGAGGCGAUCGCGCGGAUCGAGGCCGUGGAGUACAGCACCGACUGCACCGCUUCGGCGGUCUGCGGAUCGACCAGAUAGCC